rfam:Alkanindiges sp. H1 contig71, whole genome shotgun sequence.
GGGCCUAUAGCUCAGUUGGUUAGAGCAGCGGACUCAUAAUCCGUUGGUCCCCAGUUCAAGUCUGGGUGGGCCCA